rnacentral:tRNA from 1 species
GGCGAUUAGCUCAGUUGGUAGAGCGCUUCGUUUACACCGAAGAUGUCGGGAGUUCGAGUCUCUCAUCGCCCACCA